UAAAUAUCUAAAUUUAAGUAUAUCAUUUACAAUGAUAAGAUGUUGUUGAACUUUAUUUAAAUUAAAUUUAUUAAUGUAUUUUUUUUUUUUUUA
rnacentral:tRNA from 1 species